rnacentral:piRNA from 1 species
GUAACUGUUUUAAAUAAUCUGAUAAGCUAG